GACGAACGCUGGCGGCGUGCCUAAUACAUGCAAGUAGAACGCACAGUUUAUACCGUAGCUUGCUACACCAUAAACUGUGAGUUGCGAACGGGUGAGUAACGCGUAGGUAACCUGCCUGGUAGCGGGGGAUAACUAUUGGAAACGAUAGCUAAUACCGCAUAAUAUUGAUUAUUGCAUGAUAAUUGAUUGAAAGAUGCUAUUGCAUCACUACCAGAUGGAGCUGCGUUGUAUUAGCUAGUAGGUGAGGUAACGGCUCACCUAGGCGACGAUACAUAGCCGACCUGAGAGGGUGAUCGGCCACACUGGGACUGAGACACGGCCCAGACUCCUACGGGAGGCAGCAGUAGGGAAUCUUCGGCAAUGGACGAAAGUCUGACCGAGCAACGCCGCGUGAGUGAAGAAGGGUUUCGGAUCGUAAAGCUCUGUUGUAAGAGAAGAACGGGUGUGAGAGUGGAAAGUUCACACUGUGACGGUAUCUUACCAGAAAGGGACGGCUAACUACGUG
rnacentral:rRNA from 1 species